GAUGAACGCUGGCGGCGUGCCUAAUACAUGCAAGUCGAGCGAAUGGAUUAAGAGCUUGCUCUUAUGAAGUUAGCGGCGGACGGGUGAGUAACACGUGGGUAACCUGCCCAUAAGACUGGGAUAACUCCGGGAAACCGGGGCUAAUACCGGAUAACAUUUUGAACCGCAUGGUUCGAAAUUGAAAGGCGGCUUCGGCUGUCACUUAUGGAUGGACCCGUGUCGCAUUAGCUAGUUGGUGAGGUAACGGCUCACCAAGGCAACGAUGCGUAGCCGACCUGAGAGGGUGAUCGGCCACACUGGGACUGAGACACGGCCCAGACUCCUACGGGAGGCAGCAGUAGGGAAUCUUCCGCAAUGGACGAAAGUCUGACGGAGCAACGCCGCGUGAGUGAUGAAGGCUUUCGGGUCGUAAAACUCUGUUGUUAGGGAAGAACAAGUGCUAGUUGAAUAAGCUGGCACCUUGACGGUACCGGAAGAAGAAGCCCCGGCUAACUUCGUGCCAGCCGCCGCGGUAA
rnacentral:rRNA from 1 species